UCCACUGAGCCAAACCAGCUAGAGCUUUUCUUUUAACAUGAAACCCAACUGUUCUCUGCCAUGGCCAAUAAAGGACUUCAUACCCUGGUCUCUCCCAGCCAUAUCUCCUUACCCUCUCUCCCCUCAUUUUCUCUGCUCCUUUCUUUCUGUUGCCAAAUUUGGAAAGUUAGUCUAGAUAGAAGGAUGUCUUCCUAAUUCCAAGUAGACUUCACUUCUGACCUAUGGUCCAUCUUAGAAAGCUGCCCCUCCCUGCAUCCUCUGCAGUUAGGGCUCUGACUAGGAAUUCCCAAACUCAGUGGCUAUAAGAAUCUCCUGAAGAAUCUGCUAAAAUGACAAUUCCUGUGCCCCACUCAUGACCUAAUCAGUCUCAGGGGGAGAAGUCUGGGAAGUCAUGUGUUAACAAGGCCAUUGUAAUGCAUAAGGUGGUCCCUGAACCUCAGUGUGAAAAAUAGUGCAGAGUCUAGACCAGGGUGUGAAAGAGCCCUUUUGAUUCCAGGCACAAGAAAUGCAGUCUGGCACAACCGGAAGCCUUACAAGGGAGGGGAAAUUGGCUUCCAGGAAGACUGGACCUAAUUCAGAGAAAUGGGGGAGAGAACCUAGAAUAGAGGGUUAGGUCGGCUAUGAUUUUUUUUAAUACUUUUUUAUUGAUUUCAGACAGGAGGGGAGAGGGAGAUAGAAACAUCAAUGAUGAGAGAGAAUCUGUGAUCAGCUUCCUCCUGCACAUCCUCUACUGGGGAUGGAGCCUGCAACUCAGGCAUGUGCCCUGGACUGGAACUGAACCUGGGACCCUUCAGUUCGCAGGCUGACGCUCAAUCCACUGAGCCAAACCAGCUAGGGUGAGCUAUGAUUUCGAUAUGUUAAACAGACUAGUAAUUGGAAGCCUAAUUCAAACAUUGGAUCUGUGUCAGGCACCUGGACUUGCAGAUGAGCAGGGUCCCAUCCCCUGGAGCUGAUAAGCUAGUGGGGCAGUGAAGCACAUGACUAAUAUGGAGCCAGAACAGAUGAGGCUGUAGGCCGGGCAACGGAGGAAGAUACCCCCAAGCAGUGGAGAGGAAGCUGGAAAUGGGGAAGGGUGUCAUUCUUGCCUGCUGUGACUACCAUCCACAAGCGUUGUAUAUCCUUGGUUUUCUCCCCUGGAAGCUUCCCUGAUUAACAGUUUGAAGAAAGCCUUCUACAGCUAUUUAAAAAAUCCUUACGUGGAAGGUCAGUAUAGGAAACAGACUGAGGAGAACUGCCCUGGCUGAAGGGAGGAGAUGGAGAAGGGAAUGUCUAAAAUCUUGCCCAUUUCCCCAGCUUCCCGGCACUUCUACAAGUUUAAGAACGACUGUAAAAGGCAACCUAAGGAUCCUUCCAGGGAGCAAUUAUGCUCUGAAAAUACCACUGAUGUUGAUAUAGGAAAGCAAUAUACUGCCCUCCCCCUGUCAACGGACAGACAACACUAAUCAACUGGACAGCACUCCAGGCAGGCACUACCAACCCACUUGACCUGGCCUGAGAAAGGAAAUCUUUCCGCCAUGUAAGCCAUGAACUUCAUCCUCACUGAACUUGCAGCUCAUGACCUGGAGGACAGAGGCAGCAGGCAGGGCCAACUCUGAGCCAAGGUCCCAGUGGUUCGGCUGUGCAGAGGUCAGGCCUGUCCCUCACCUUGUGGAGGAGGUCCUCCAGGCUGUGCGCCGUGAUGCCCUUCCGCACACUCCGGUCCUGGGUGCUCACUCUGCAGGGCCGGGCUCUGAGGGGCUCCGGGCUGGGCUCCGACAGCAGCUGCUGGGUGACCACCGAGGUGCUCACUGCCACAUACCUGGGGGUGGUUUGGGGCAUUAGGAUAAGCUGCCUGCUGCUUCCCAGCUCUCACCCCAUAGCAAUCCCCCUAGGCUGAGUUCCCCAUAUUCCUCCUCCCCUACCACCUACCAGGCCUGCUCUAGAUAGUCUUACUACUCAAAAGUCAGCCACAUCAGUGCAUCUGAGACUUUAAUGGGCAUCCAAGUCCUGUGGGGAUCUUGGUGAAAUGCAGAUUCUGAUUCAGUAGGUCUGGGUGGAGUGUGAGAUUCUAUGUGUCUGAAAAAUUCCCAAGUGAUAUUGACUCUGCGGGUUCUCAGACCAUGAGGGGGAACAGUGAUAGAAGACCCACCCCACAUUCCCCCAAUUCCACUUUCCUCUCUUGGCCUCACUCUUCUCACCUGUAAAGUGAGAUAAAGUGGCGAAGCUGACGUCAGUGUAAGGUGGUGUUGUGCUCUGACAUAACACAAUGUAGAACCAACGGAGUGGAGGGAACCUGGGUUUUGGAGUCAGGCAGGCAAAGUUAGAAUCCUGGCCCCACUAUCCAUUUGCUAGGUAAUGGAAAGCAUCCACUCUGUGCCCCAGCUCCCUCGUCUAUUAAUUUGGCAUAAUCAUCCCCACUUCCCAAAGUCGUGGUGAGGCUGAAAUGAGAUCAAGAAUGAAAGCACAAGCACUGUGUGGUGGUAAUCUUGGGUCCCAUUACAGAGCCCCUGAAUCAGAACCUGCACUUUACGAAGACACACAAGUGACUUAUGUGCCACUGAAAUUUGAGAAGUUCUGCCCUACCGCUCUCAGGUAGCUCCCCUUCCCGUUCACCCUCGGCUCUCCUCACCUGGAAAGGGACUUGGGGUUGAGAAGGCUGAGGGACUUCAUGGCGUAUUCCAUCCUCGUCAGCUGGACUGCAUUGGACCUGGGAAGGAAGCAGAAACAGCUCAUUACCGUGGACUGGGAGGGUUUCCGUUCUCUCAUCAUUUGACACAGAACCACCCCACCCCCAUCCAGCAAGCUUCCACCCUGCUCUCUCCUCUCAAUUCACAGACACCCUCCCCAGCCUUUUUUCUGUCCAGCCCUGUGCACACCGACUGUGACCAAGUUGGAGACCCCCUCAGUGCCCAGGCUCAGCCCCACUCAGCUGCUCCACCCUCCCUAGUACCACUCACUCCAUGUUUCUCUGACUCUGGCUCUGCUCACACUGAUCAGGGAUCCCAAGUUGGAGCUAAAGACGCCCGGCCUGGUUAAUUCCUGUCCCUGGGGGCAGAGUCCACUUUGUGCUGGCAGGAGGUGAGUCACACCACCUCACACUGCUGGGGACUGUUCCCUCAGCUGUAGUCCAGCGACAUCACAGGCCAGGCCUCACAGGCCUGGUCUCUCCCGUAGGCCCUUGAGCAAUCCAAACCCUCCUGAGGCUUCCCACUGACUAAAGGGACUUUGUGAGAUGAUGGAGAAUGUUCUACAUCUAUUCUCUCUGUUUCCAUAGCUACUAGCCCAAUGUGGCUAUUGAGCACUUAAAAUGUUGCUAGGAUGCCUAAGGGGCUGGAUUUUUAAUUAUUUUUAAUGCUAACUGGAUUUAAAUAGCCAUGGUGUCUUAUGGCUCCUGGCAACCAUACUGGACAGUAUAGCUCUAGCUGACAGCUUUGGGCUCACCUGCUACCACUUUUAUCUCCUAAACCUCCAUGCUCCAGCUUUGCAUGUUCCAAGCAUGCAAACGGCAGUCCCCUCCACCUGCAAUGCCUUCCUCUGGCCCAGAGCUAAAUGUUUGUAGUUUUGAAGCCCUAGUUGCAUUGCUUUCCACUCCUUGGAAAGCCUUCGUACACAGCUCACAGAAUUUCCCCUUCAACCUGCCCUUCCUACUUCUUAGCCAAGUGUCUAUUUCUGUCUUAGCCCCCUAGGCACGGGGUGCCUGGCCCUGAGAUGUUCUCCCUAAUCCUAGCCCCCAGCACAGCAAGGUCCUGGCACAGAAUAAGGGGCUCAAGGAGCGGUCAUGGAAGAAAAGCCCCCUCCACAGUCAGGUAAAAUCACUCUUUCCUUCUAAAGACGUGGGGAAGAGGGCUCCUCAGACCUGCCUUGCCUGUGAAAGCUCACUACCCAAGUCUGCUUGUUUGGGCCUCACUCCUCACUCCCAUUCCCUAUCCAUAGCAAAACUCUGCCAAGCCCCACCUCACCUGCUCUCCAAGAGCCAAAAAACAAAACACCACAAAACAAAAAACUCCUUACCUCCCCCUCACAGUCUCCUAACCUCCUUAUAGUACUGCCCUGCUCAGCUCAGCCCUCCCUUCAUUUUAUUUCCAGCUCCCGGGGGAAGCCCCUCCCCUGGCCUUCAGUGCCAGCUGGGGAAAAGAGCAUGGGGAGUGAGUGUACAGCUUUCUCCCUUGGGAUUUCAGGCCAAUCUAACUUCCAGAAAAUGCCCCAAAGGAGGGCAGGAGGCAUGUUACGACAGCUUUGGGACGGGUCUGGCCCAGGACAUGGCAGCAGGCACAGAGGGCACAGAAAACAGGCCCAUGUGGGUUGUGGCUCCAGCACUGCCCGAGUUAGCUGUCUGAGUGCAGACAAAUUGCGUUAUGCCUGUGCACUCCAGUUUCUCUCCCUGUACUACAGGGAAUAAUGAUUCCUGUGUCAAAGGAUUGAGUGAGGAUUUAUGAUAAUAAAAGUAAAGGGUGCCCUGGCCGGUUUGGCUCAGUGGAUGGAGCGUCGGCCUACGGACUGAAGGGUCCCGGGUUCUUCGAUUCUGGUCAAGGGCACAUGCCUUGGUUGCAGGCUCGGUCCCUGGUGGGGGGCGUGUAGGAAGCAGCCAAUCAAUGAUUCUCUCUCAUCAUUGAUGUUUCUAUCUCUCUCCUCCCUUCCUCUCUGAAAUCAAUAAAAAUAUU